rnacentral:sRNA from 1 species
UCUAAUGCCAGGAACAAACUAUCACAACCAGCCCUGGGGUUAAUCCUGUGAGAAGAUUAGGGCUUUCAUCUUCAUUUAGACCUGACCCCUGACUGCUUUCUAUCUAAUCCUUCACUAAGCAACUCCUUCAACUGGAAAUAUACUAUCCUAUAUAGCAUAAUAUUCAAAACAACAUUCUUCACUGGGGGUUUCCAGAUGAAAGCCCACAUUUUGUUAACAUGACUCACUGAGACAGUCUUUGUUUCUCCUAGGGCACAGUCGUAGUGCCAACUCUGGACUCUGUUUUGUAUGACAACCAAGAAUUUCCUGAUCCAGAAAAGUUUAAGCCAGAACACUUCCUGAAUGAAAAUGGAAAGUUCAAGUACAGUGACUAUUUCAAGCCAUUUUCCACAGGAAAACGAGUGUGUGCUGGAGAAGGCCUGGCUCGCAUGGAGUUGUUUCUUUUGUUGUGUGCCAUUUUGCAGCAUUUUAAUUUGAAGCCUCUCGUUGACCCAAAGGAUAUCGACCUCAGCCCUAUACAUAUUGGGUUUGGCUGUAUCCCACCACGUUACAAACUCUGUGUCAUUCCCCGCUCAUGAGUGUGUGGAGGACACCCUGAACCCCCCGCUUUCAAACAAGUUUUCGAAUUGUUUGAGGUCAGGAUUUCUCAAACUGAUUCCUUUCUUUGCAUAUGAGUAUUUGAAAAUAAAUAUUUUCCCAGAAUAUAAAUAAAUCAUCACAUGAUUAUUUUAA